rnacentral:rRNA from 1 species
GAUGAACGCUGGCGGCGUGCUUAACACAUGCAAGUCGAACGAUGAAGCCCAGCUUGCUGGGUGGAUUAGUGGCGAACGGGUGAGUAACACGUGAGUAACCUGCCCUUAACUCUGGGAUAAGCCUGGGAAACUGGGUCUAAUACCGGAUAGGAGCGCCUACCGCAUGGUGGGUGUUGGAAAGAUUUAUCGGUUUUGGAUGGACUCGCGGCCUAUCAGCUUGUUGGUGAGGUAAUGGCUCACCAAGGCGACGACGGGUAGCCGGCCUGAGAGGGUGACCGGCCACACUGGGACUGAGACACGGCCCAGACUCCUACGGGAGGCAGCAGUGGGGAAUAUUGCACAAUGGGCGCAAGCCUGAUGCAGCGACGCCGCGUGAGGGAUGACGGCCUUCGGGUUGUAAACCUCUUUCAGUAGGGAAGAAGCGAAAGUGACGGUACCUGCAGAAGAAGCACCGGCUAACUACGU